GUUGGAAACAGAAAUUAUUCAAAAAAGGGCAUUUGAGAGGAGUCUUAUUUUAUUUAUGUCUAUUGAACAUACCCUGCAGGACAUUCACAUGCUCCAUAUAAAACAUCACCAUUAUCUUUGCAGACCACAAUAAUUCUGUACAUCUCAUGUUUCAUUGACACCACAACUUUGGAUUUUACCCAUACUUUUCAAAAUCCCCGAGCAAUUUCAUAGGUUUUAAUA
rnacentral:lncRNA from 1 species